CUGAAAAUGACGAUCGUAAUCUAGCUCUCUGUGCUGGUGCGCAUUGAUUUCAGGUGAAUCUAAACCCUGCAAAAGUAAUCCAAUUUCCAGAGUUGAAACCAGCUGUGAAGACAAGAGGAAGAUGAGAACGACCAAAAUGGAAGAAGAUGAACUUCUGAUGAAAGUCAGACAGGCCCUCAAUGAACCUGAGCAGAAACUUGGUUACCUGCAAGCUUCGCUGGAGAUAAAGAGCCCCCCUGCCAACUGUCUAGCUCUCCUUCUCACACAAACACACACGCAUGAAAUCUCUUGAAGUCAUCAUGGAUUUCUUCCUAACUCGACUUGGCAGCGCUGAUGGAAAAGUCAUGAGCAAGCCCAGCACUGAUGGGCAUAAUGAGAGAUGAGAAUGAGGUAAUUUAAAUUUGUAAAUUCACACUCCAGAUUCCAGGGCGUGCACACACACACACACACACACACACACACACACACACAAACACACAGUGAUCUUGUAUAAAAAUGUGUAUAAAAAUAUAAAAAGUGCUGUGUGAUUGUUCUUAUCUGCUCUGUGCUCUACUUGACUUGACAAUCGGAAAGUGUUCUGUCAGAAACGUGGCAAUGAACAUCCAAUAUGGUAUUUACAUUUUUGUUCAUUUAGCUGACGCUUUUAUUCAAAGCGACUUACAUUUGCUAUAUAUGGUCACAUGCCUCUGGAUCAACUAGGGGUUAAGUGUCUUGCUCAGGGACACAUUGGUGUCUCGUAGUGGAUUUGAACCUGGGUCUCUCAUACCAAAGGCAUGUGUCUUAUCCACUGCUCCAUACACCCCAACCCCAGAUCCAGCUGGUGUGGCUGUGUCUGAUUGUUUUGUUGGGUCACAACAAUCAGACACAGCCACAUGGUAACACUUCAAAUGUAAAGAGCUGGCCAACUGCCUCGCCAAAUGUCUUUGACUGAAAAAAAAAAA